rnacentral:tRNA from 1 species
GGUGUAGCCAAGUGGUAAGGCACGGGACUUUGACUCCUGGAUGCGUAGGUUCGAUCCCUGCCAC